CCCUUAGAUGUCCUGGGCCGCACGCGCGCUACACUGAGUGUCUGAGAUACGAGUCUGCCUGGUCCGGCAAGGUCUAGGUAAUCGCUAAAAGACACAUCAUGCUUGGGAUAGAUUAUUGCAAAUAUUAAUCUUGAACGAGGAAUUCCUAGUAAGCGCAAGUCAACAGCUUGCGUUGAUUACGUCCCUGCCCUUUGUACACACCGCCCGUCGCUACUACUGAUUGGAUGUUUAAGCGAGGUUCUCGAACUGCUAGCGACUUAGCGUCGGUGAGGUCGCAGUGUGGGAAGUGAACCGAGCUUUGGUGUCUAGAGGAAGUAAAAGUCGUAACA
rnacentral:rRNA from 1 species